rnacentral:rRNA from 1 species
GACGAACGCUGGCGGCGUGCUUAACACAUGCAAGUCGAACGAAGUGGCGAACGGGUGAGUAACGCGUAAUCAACCUGCCCUUCAGAGGGGGACAACAGUUGGAAACGACUGCUAAUACCGCAUACUGAAGGAGGGGAUUGCGUCUGAUUAGCUAGUUGGAGGGGUAACGGCCUACCGAGGCUAUGACGCGUAACUGGUCUGAGAGGAUGAGCUGUCACAUUCGAACUGAGACACGGUCCGAGCUCCUACCGCAAGCAGCGGUAGGGAAUAGUGCGCAAUGGGGGAAACCCUGACGCAGCAUCGCCGCGUGGAGGAUGACACUUUUCGGAGCGUAAACUCCUUUUGUUAGGGAAGCGUUACCUAACGAAUAAGCACCGGCUAACUCCGUGCCAGCAGCCGCGGUAAUAC